AAUGUGUGUCUAAAGUGAUAGGUCUCGCUAUCCAUGAUGACGAUACAAGAUAUUCCCGUUCAGAGCAUGAAUCUGGUGGCUAGAUAUGACUUUGCUCAUGUUUCUUCCACCUUUGAUGAUCUUUCCUUGUUCUUCAAUGAACAUGGAUGAAGGGAAUAUGUUCUGAGUGGA
rnacentral:snoRNA from 8 species